rnacentral:rRNA from 1 species
UUGGAGGGCAAGUCUGGUGCCAGCAGCCGCGGUAAUUCCAGCUCCAAUAGCGUAUAUUAAAGUUGUUGCAGUUAAAAAGCUCGUAGUUGAAUUUCGGGAUCAAUUAAUUGGUCGUGCCUCUAGUACGUACUGAUUUUAUUGGUUUCUCCCUUCAGACGAAUCAUGAUGUCAUUAAUUUGGUGUCGUGGAGAAUCAGGACUGUUACUUUGAAAAAAUUAGAGUGUUUAAAGCAAGCUAACGCUUGAAUACAUUAGCAUGGAAUAAUGAAAUAGGACGUUUGACCCUAUUUUGUUGGUUUCUAGGAUCGACGUAAUGAUUAAUAGGGAUAGUUGGGGGCAUUAGUAUUCAAUUGUCAGAGGUGAAAUUCUUGGAUUUAUUGAAGACUAACUACUGCGAAAGCAUUUGCCAAGGAUGUUUUCAUUAAUCAAGAACGAAAGUUAGGGGAUCGAAGACGAUCAGAUACCGUCGUAGUCUUAACCAUAAACUAUGCCGACUAGGGAUCGGAUGAUGUUAAUUUUUUAAUGACUCAUUCGGCGCCUUACGGGAAACCAAAGUGUUUGGGUUC